UGGCGGACGGGUGAGUAAUGUCUGGGAAACUGCCUGAUGGAGGGGGAUAACUACUGGAAACGGUAGCUAAUACCGCAUAACGUCGCAAGACCAAAGAGGGGACCUUCGGGCCUCUUGCAUCGGAUGUGCCCAGAUGGGAUUAGCUAGUAGGUGGGGUAACGGCUCACCUAGGCGACGAUCCCUAGCUGGUCUGAGAGGAUGACCAGCCACACUGGAACUGAGACACGGUCCAG
rnacentral:rRNA from 1 species